rnacentral:rRNA from 1 species
UGAAGUUGGAUUCGCUAGUAAUCGCGCAUCAGCCAUGGCGCGGUGAAUACGUUCCCGGGCCUUGUACACACCGCCCGUCAAGCCAUGGAAGCCGGGAGUGCCUGAAGUGCGUGAGCGCAAGCAGCGCCCUAAGGUAAAACCGGUGACUGGGGCUAAGUCGUAACAAGGUAGC